rnacentral:rRNA from 1 species
AGCAGUAGCCGCGGUAAUACAGAGGAUGCAAGCGUUAUCCGGAAUGAUUGGGCGUAAAGCGUCUGUAGGUGGCUUUUCAAGUCCGCCGUCAAAUCCCAGGGCUCAACCCUGGACAGGCGGUGGAAACUACCAAGCUGGAGUACGGUAGGGGCAGAGGGAAUUUCCAGUGGAGCGGUGAAAUGCGUUGAGAUCGAAAAGAACACCAACGGCGAAAGCACUCUGCUGGGCCGACACUGACACUGAGAGACGAAAGCUAGGGGAGCAAAUGGGAUUAGAUACCCCCGUAGUCCCUGUCUCUUAUAC